GCGGGAUUGGAAAAGUGCACGAGGAGGGGUGGGAAGCGGAGACGGAGCGUGGUUGAAAUUCCACCAAAUGGAUAAGAGGCAGACAAAGUUUGACACGUUUAUCUUUUCAGUGGUUGGCCGACACGAAUGAACGAGUAAACGCUGCUUUUAGCCUAGUGGAAGUGUCAUAAAUGAAUACCUCCGUAUUAUGUAUUCACUGCACUGACUCUCCACGAGGGCACAAGUCCGCCUGACAAUUUUCGCGUAAAGAGAGGCAGCGCGGGAGAGCUCACUUGUAGCCUGGCAGAUCACUGGGGUCAGGGCCUGUUGCAGAGGGAGCCGUAUAUCCUGCGCCUCGGGCUCGUCAGAGUCGUGAAAGAAGAAAAGUUUUCUGCUAGCCCAUGCCGCCAGCAGCGUCACUAUCCCUCUACCUAACACACUGAGUUGACCUCCUCAGUGCUUGUGUGACAGGUGGUGAGGGUGAAGAAGGAGGGAGAGGUUAUCAGUGACCCAACUUCGCCCAAGAUGGAUGAGGAUUUCCUGAGCAGUACCCUGACUACCUCUGAAUCAGACCUGUCCUCAACCUCUUUUUUGACAUUGGAGGCAAAGGCAGCCUUCAUCUUUGUCCUCAUCCUUUUCCUCGUCUUGGGCCUCCUGAUCAUACGCUGCUUCCGUAUCUUGCUCGACCCUUACCGCAGCAUGCCCUCCUCUACCUGGACUGACUACAUGGAGAAGGACACCUUUGAUUACCGUAUUGCCUGAGGGGCCUUCCUUAUCAAAGGCUGCUGUACUGCAUCGCCUGAGGUGCUGGUGACCAGAGCUGCUGCAUUGCCAAAGAAGCAUCAAAGAUAACUAUCUAAGAGAGUUUCCACGUGUCCGGAUUCAGCGCAUUGAAACACAUCUUCUGAUUCCUGUGUUAUCUUGAGAUACGGGCUGACUAUAGAAUUGCCUGAGGACUCCUACUCUGAGGCAGGAACAAUGGCAGUGGGAGGUUCUUCACCUUGGCCACAAGGGGAUCACUGUGUUUCCUGAGCCCUUAAACAUUUCCGAGAUACUGCAGUGCCAGAGGGGUCCUUCACUGGUGCUACGAGGGAAGCUGGUGUUUUGCCCAAGGGACAGGCUAUAGUAACUGAAAUAGAAAAGCUGUUUUUCUCUUGAAGGAACAGGGGGAGCCUGUCCUCUCCUGCAGCAAGUGAUAUAACUACUCCAGUGACUGAGCACAGCUUGAUCACAUCACCUCCUAAACCUGACCUGGCAUGCUAAGAAAACCACCUUUUUGUACACAGCCCUUUCUGAUUUGUGUUCUAAAAUGUUGGUUUUGGUAAAGAGAGAGAUCUUUAAAGCUGUAAUUCUAUGGCCUAGGUUUUAGGUUACUGUACUUAGUCAGUCAGUAACACACACACACACACACACACACACACACACACACACACACACACACACACACACACACACACACACACACACACACACACACACACACACACACACACACACACACACACACACACACACACACACACACACACACACACACACACACACACACACACACACGGUCAUACAGGCCCCCUGUACAAACACACUACACAAACUAUUCUCCUACACAAAGACACCCACACAGACUCGCAACACUCAUGCACUCUAUGCUCAUAUAUACUCAGAAACAUGCAAAGACCUACAAUGACCAUCACACUUUGUCCAAUAUCACACCCCAGGAGCCUUUCGACAAACGUGGGAUUAUUCUGGCCACGUCAGGGGAACGAGUGCAGCACUUUCCUCUCUGUGACGAGGGGUGGGAGUGUGUGUCGUUAUCUCUCAAAUUAGCCUGCAGUUGUCCUUUUUCUGGGAGUGCAUUUCAGUUCAGCCACUGACGAUGAGUCUUAUUACUCUGGCUGUCACUGACAGUGCAGUGACAAGCCUGAAGAAAAUGAUUUCCACGUUAUCUCAACAAAAUAAUUCAAUGUGAUGACGUUGAAUCAGAGUGGAAAACUGAUUGAAUUUGCAAACAGUAAUCAAUGUGAGGGAAUUUCUGCCUAAAUCCAAUGACGGUGAUUUUUUGUUGUUGAUUUUAAGUUGAAUUCACAUUAGUUGACAACUCCACCAAAUGUAAAUCAAAACUAGACGUUGAACUGACGUCUGUGCCCAGUGGGGCAACAAUUCACUGAAACACGGCUAUUACUACUACACAGAUGUAGAAUCUUAAUUUGAUCAGUCUUUUGUUGCUGAGAAUUUACAAGCACAGCAGGAAAUGCAACCAUUUAGUGUAUUUGAGGUUUAAAAAGGCUUCUAUAAUUUAUUGUUUCCAUUUAGACAUUUCUAACUUGAUUUAUUAAAAAAAUGUGUUAUCAACCUUUACAAAAAUGUCCAGUAAUUAUAAUCCACAUAAUAAUUCACCAUGUCCUGUUGCUGGAGGAUGAUUUUCCUGCUGUAGAAAACUGACUAAAAUUAAGAUCCUACAUAUGUAGCACAAGACUCCUGAAAGUUCUGAAUCCUAACUUGAAAUAAAUUUGCGUAACUCAUAGUUUCUGAACUGGGGACCUAUCUCAAUCGACUGAGAGUCAUGUAACCAGGUGGCAUUAUUAGUGCUGUAUACCGGCACAGAUGUUCACUGAAUGCAGACUUUCUCUGUUUCUAAUCCCUUUAAUGCCGAUUUUCACCGCUCUUAGUCUGUCUCCUCCUCUUUGUUAGCUCUUUGCCUUACAUAAAGCUUGUUUACAUUUGACAAACUGGUGGUGGAACAGCCUGGGAGCCUAUAGCGUCACAAGACAUUUAUUACCCUUUAAGAUAGUUGCCCUUUGAGGGAGUUCUGCAUGUAUAUUCUCUGAUGAAAGUUCCUGUUAUGAUGAGCUGCUGCUCUACCUGCAAAGAGACUCGGAUGAUCUGUGUUGUUUGGGAAACUGGAAAUGCGUGUUACUGUAUGUGAUUAAAUUGGGAUUUUUUUUGCAGAUCCCAAAUCUUAGAACAUGUUUGCUCCUCCUUUGAUGUUCUAGUCCAGGGAUGGGCAACUUUGAUGUGGGUGUGAGCCACCAUAAAUCUGAAGUCAUUAUGAGGGGCUGCAGUGGCUCACGGUUCUGCAUACCCACAUCCAUAACCGCACAUGCAGUCAGAAACAGCCCUAGACUUUUGGGGGCCCUGAGCAGAAUGUUUUAGUUUUUUGGGGGGGGGGAAUUCAUCCGCAGGCGUGCAAAAGGACCAGUUUCCCAUCCCUGCUCUAGACUGGCCGUUUACAUGUCUCUGGAUUACAGCAUCUGCUAAAUGACUAAAAUGUAAAUGUUAACCAAGGGGUGAUUUUAUUAUUGAAUUAGAUCAUAAGUCAUUUGACAUAAAUAUCCAAACAUGUUUUAUUAGACAGCGAUACUAUGAUCUGACAUAUUGACCACAUACAUGUCUGUUUCAUUGGAAUGUCAUGAGGAGAGACGCAACUCAGUUGACUGUAUUUUCCAAAAGGUUGUGGCAUUUUUUUGUUUUUGCAUAUGUCUGUAUACAAGUCCUUAUUGUUGUACUCGCUCAUUGGCUUACUGCAUUGGUGACAUCAAUUCACAUUGAUCACAAACAGGGCAGUGCAUAACAUCUUUUUUUGUUUCAGCAUUCAGUUGAACAUGGGUAACUUCAAAAACAUGACUUAAGAGAGAGUAUUGUGUUUACAUUAGAAGUUUAUUCCACUGCAACUCUGUUACUACAUACACCGUCUCAAUGCAAAUGCUUUGAUACAGAUUCGGGAUGGUGGUCAAAUUACAUUAGAAACAAGCCUUAUAUUCCAUUUUAGACUUUAUGUACAGAGUUCAAAUUACGACGUGUUGAAUUACUUGACAUGACUAGAAAAGUAUCUUUACAGUAUAUUUUGCUGUUAUUGAGAGUUAUUCUAGUAGGAUAAACCUGCUGUUUACGUACAAUGGUCCAGCCUACUGUUUAAUCUUGUGAUCUCUUUUACAAGUGUUUUCUUCUUGUUUGGUAAAUAAAUAAAGCUUCUUCUUG